AGUGUUCAAAGCAGGCUCUCGAGCCUGGAUAAUGGUGCAUGGAAUAAUGGAAUAGGACCUUGGUUCUAUUUUGUUGGUUUUCGAAGCACGAGGUAAUGAUUAAGAGGGACAGACGGGGGCAUUCGUACUGUGCCGUUAAAAGUGAAAUUCUUGAAUCAGCGCAAGACGAGCGACUGUGAAAUCAUAUGCCAAGAAUGUUUUUUUA
rnacentral:ncRNA from 1 species